GACGAACGCUGGCGGCGCGCCUAACACAUGCAAGUCGAACGAGCGAGAGAGAGCUUGCUUUCUCGAGCGAGUGGCGAACGGGUGAGUAACGCGUGAGGAACCUGCCUCAAAGAGGGGGACAACAGUUGGAAACGACUGCUAAUACCGCAUAAGCCCACGGUGCCGCAUGGCACAGAGGGAAAAGGAGCAAUCCGCUUUGAGAUGGCCUCGCGUCCGAUUAGCUAGUUGGUGAGGUAAUGGCCCACCAAGGCGACGAUCGGUAGCCGGACUGAGAGGUUGAACGGCCACAUUGGGACUGAGACACGGCCCAGACUCCUACGGGAGGCAGCAGUGGGGAAUAUUGCACAAUGGGGGAAACCCUGAUGCGGCGACGCCGCGUGGAGGAAGAAGGUCUUCGGAUUGUAAACUCCUGUUGUUGGGGAAGAUAAUGACGGUACCCAACAAGGAAGUGACGGCUAACUACGUGCCAGCAGCCGCGGUAAAACGUAGGUCACAAGCGUUGUCCGGAAUUACUGGGUGUAAAGGGAGCGCAGGCGGGAAGACAAGUUGGAAGUGAAAUCUAUGGGCUCAACCCAUAAACUGCUUUCAAAACUGUUUUUCUUGAGUAGUGCAGAGGUAGGCGGAAUUCCCGGUGUAGCGGUGGAAUGCGUAGAUAUCGGGAGGAACACCAGUGGCGAAGGCGGCCUACUGGGCACCAACUGACGCUGAGGCUCGAAAGUGUGGGUAGCAAACAGGAUUAGAUACCCUGGUAGUCCACACCGUAAACGAUGAUUACUAGGUGUUGGAGGAUUGACCCCUUCAGUGCCGCAGUUAACACAAUAAGUAAUCCACCUGGGGAGUACGACCGCAAGGUUGAAACUCAAAGGAAUUGACGGGGGCCCGCACAAGCAGUGGAGUAUGUGGUUUAAUUCGACGCAACGCGGAGAACCUUACCAAGUCUUGACAUCCCUUGACAGGCAUAGAAAUAUGUUUUCUCUUCGGAGCAAGGAGACAGGUGGUGCAUGGUUGUCGUCAGCUCGUGUCGUGAGAUGUUGGGUUAAGUCCCGCAACGAGCGCAACCCUUAUGGUCAGUUACUACGCAAGAGGACUCUGGCCAGACUGCCGUUGACAAAACGGAGGAAGGUGGGGAUGACGUCAAAUCAUCAUGCCCUUUAUGACUUGGGCUACACACGUACUACAAUGGCGUUAAACAAAGAGAAGCAAGACCGCGAGGUGGAGCAAAACUCAGAAACAACGUCCCAGUUCGGACUGCAGGCUGCAACUCGCCUGCACGAAGUCGGAAUUGCUAGUAAUCGUGGAUCAGCAUGCCACGGUGAAUACGUUCCCGGGCCU
rnacentral:rRNA from 1 species